rnacentral:SRP_RNA from 1 species
GCCCGGUGUGGUGGUGCAUACCUGUAGUCCUAGCUAUUCAGGAGGUUGAGGCAGGAAGAUCACUUGAGUCCUGGAGCUCUGGACUGUAGUAUGCUAUGCCUGUCAGGUGUCUGGAUUAAGUUUGGCAUCAAUAUAGUGACCUCCUGGGAGCAGGGGCCCACUAGGUUGCCUAAGGAGGUGUGAACCAGGCCAGAAACGGAGCAGGUCAAAACUCUCAUGCUGAUCAGUAAUGGGAUCACGCCUGUGAGUAGUCACUAGUCCAGUGACUUUAAAAAAAGGA